UUCGCGUUCACGGAUCUCUCCUUCAGAACUUGGACAAUGGCGCAGCGUUUUGUGAAGAAGCAGCUGAUAAACAAAGGGAUCUAACUCAGGAGCCCAAAACACAGCAACAACAAGCCAGAGUUCAGAUGACCCCUGUCUUGAACAGAGUGUUUCCUGUUGGAGCCUAGAAAGUGACCCGUCUCAUCUAGAGGGACCUUUAUUGACAAAUGGCCCUGAACUCUUCAAUGACAGUGAAGCAUUUCCCACAGCACAAGACCACACAAAAGACAUUGAGAAUUCAGGACUUGAAUCUGAUAUGGAAUAUUUGUAUUCUGUAGAUGUAAAUGAUGAAGAGUGGGCUUGUGAUGAUAACCUACUGGAAUACUGUAGUAAAGAGAGACUUACAGUUGAUGGAACCAGAAUGAAAAACUUGAACGCUGGGGAUUGUCCCCUUUACAGAGAUGCUCCAAUAUCUAUUGCAGAGAGUCUUCUCCUCAUAAUGACCUUUGCUAAUAGACACAAAAUUACAGGGAAGGCUUUGGGUGAC